GUCCGUUUGGCGGAAUGGUAGACGCGGUAAACUUAAAAUUUACUUCUUUCUAAGAGUACUGGUUCGACUCCAGUAACGGACA
rnacentral:tRNA from 1 species